rnacentral:rRNA from 1 species
CCUACGGGUGGCAGCAGUAAGGGAUAUUGGUCAAUGGGGGAAACCCUGAACCAGCAACGCCGCGUGAGGGAAGACGGUUUUCGGAUUGUAAACCUCUUUCCUCGGGGAAGAUGAUGACGUUAGCAGAGGAGGAAGCUCCGGCUAACUACGUGCCAGCAGCCGCGGUAAUACGUAGGGAGCGAGCGUUGUCCGGAUUUACUGGGUGUAAAGGGUACGUAGGCGGCUUGGCAAGUCAGUAGUGAAAUCCAUGGGCUUAACCCAGGAACUGCUAUUGAAGCUGGCGAGCUUGAGGGAAGUAGAGGUAGGCGGAAUUCCAGGUGUAGCGGUGAAAUGCGUAGAGAUCGGGAGGAACACCAGUGGCGAAGGCGGCCUACUGGGCGUUAACUGACGCUGAGGCACGAAAGCGUGGGGAGCAAACAGGAUUAGAUACCCGUGUAGUC